CAUACCUCAUGGACACAUUUUAGGAUGGGACAGGCACGCAGGUACCAAAUACCUACCUGCCAGCCACAUAUGCAUAGUCAGGCAGGUAGGCACGCAGCUAUAGGCAUGCUGAUAGGUACGUAGGCAGGCUGGCACUACACAUUAAAUCGC
ensembl:ncRNA Y54F10AM.14 ncRNA